rnacentral:rRNA from 1 species
ACGGCGAGUGAGCGGCAAAGCUCAAAUUUGAAAUCUGGCACCUUCGGUGUCCGAGUUGUAAUUUGAAGAAGGUAACUUUGGAGUUGGCUCUUGUCUAUGUUCCUUGGAACAGGACGUCACAGAGGGUGAGAAUCCCGUGCGAUGAGAUGCCCAAUUCUAUGUAAAGUGCUUUCGAAGAGUCGAGUUGUUUGGGAAUGCAGCUCUAAGUGGGUGGUAAAUUCCAUCUAAAGCUAAAUAUUGGCGAGAGACCGAUAGCGAACAAGUACAGUGAUGGAAAGAUGAAAAGAACUUUGAAAAGAGAGUGAAAAAGUACGUGAAAUUGUUGAAAGGGAAGGGCUUGAGAUCAGACUUGGUAUUUUGCGAUCCUUUCCUUCUUGGUUGGGUUCCUCGCAGCUUACUGGGCCAGCAUCGGUUUGGAUGGUAGGAUAAUGACUAAGGAAUGUGGCUCUACUUCGGUGGAGUGUUAUAGCCUUGGUUGAUACUGCCUGUCUAGACCGAGGACUGCGUCUUUUGACUAGGAUGUUGGCAUAAUGAUCUUAAGCCACCCGUCUUGAAACACGGACCA